rnacentral:rRNA from 1 species
GAUGAACGCUGGUGGCGUGCCUAAUACAUGCAAGUCGAGCGAACAGAUGAGGAGCUUGCUCCUCUGACGUUAGCGGCGGACGGGUGAGUAACACGUGGAUAACCUACCUAUAAGACUGGGAUAACUUCGGGAAACCGGAGCUAAUACCGGAUAAUAUAUUGAACCGCAUGGUUCAAUAGUGAAAGACGGUUUUGCUGUCACUUAUAGAUGGAUCCGCGCCGCAUUAGCUAGUUGGUAAGGUAACGGCUUACCAAGGCAACGAUGCGUAGCCGACCUGAGAGGGUGAUCGGCCACACUGGAACUGAGACACGGUCCAGACUCCUACGGGAGGCAGCAGUAGGGAAUCUUCCGCGAUGGGCGAAAGCCUGACGGAGCAACGCCGCGUGAGUGAUGAAGGUCUUCGGAUCGUAAAACUCUGUUAUUAGGGAAGAACAAAUGUGUAAGUAACUAUGCACGUCUUGACGGUACCUAAUCAGAAAGCCACGGCUAACUACGUG